rnacentral:rRNA from 1 species
UUUCGAAUCAUUCACAAUGGGCGCAAGCCUGAUGGUGCGACGCCGCGUGGGGGAUGAAGGUCUUUGGAUUGUAAACCCCUGUCACCGGGGAAGAAACGCUAAAUUAUAACAUGAUUUAGCCUGACUUAACCCGGAGAGGAAGCAGUGGCUAACUCUGUGCCAGCAGCCGCGGUAAUACAGAGACUGCAAGCGUUAUUCGGAUUCACUGGGCGUAAAGGGUGCGCAGGCGGCCAUGUGUGUUAGGCGUGAAAGCCUGAGGCUUAACCUCAGAAUUGCACCUAAAACUACAUGGCUAGAGUACUGGAGAGGGUAGCGGAAUUCACGGUGUAGCAGUGAAAUGCGUAGAUAUCGUGAGGAACACCAAUGGCGAAGGCAGCUACCUGGACAGUUACUGACGCUC